rnacentral:miRNA from 1 species
CCACAAUGAAAGUAGAUGUCCG